rnacentral:rRNA from 1 species
AACGAACGCUGGCGGCAGGCCUAACACAUGCAAGUCGAGCGGACCCUUCGGGGUUAGCGGCGGACGGGUGAGUAACGCGUGGGAAUAUGCCCUUCUCUACGGAAUAGUCCUGGGAAACUGGGGGUAAUACCGUAUACGCCCUUCGGGGGAAAGAUUUAUCGGGGAAGGAUUAGCCCGCGUUGGAUUAGGUAGUUGGUGGGGUAAUGGCCUACCAAGCCGACGAUCCAUAGCUGGUUUGAGAGGAUGAUCAGCCACACUGGGACUGAGACACGGCCCAGACUCCUACGGGAGGCAGCAGUGGGGAAUCUUAGACAAUGGGGGCAACCCUGAUCUAGCCAUGCCGCGUGAGUGAUGAAGGCCUUAGGGUUGUAAAGCUCUUUCAGCUGGGAAGAUAAUGACGGUACCAGCAGAAGAAGCCCCGGCUAACUCCGUG